GAUGAACGCUAGCUACAGGCUUAACACAUGCAAGUCGAGGGGAAACGACAUCGAAAGCUUGCUUUUGAUGGGCGUCGACCGGCGCACGGGUGAGUAACGCGUAUCCAACCUGCCUACCACUUGGGGAUAACCUUGCGAAAGUAAGACUAAUACCCAAUGAUAUCUCUAGAAGACAUCUGAAAGGGAUUAAAGAUUUAUCGGUGAUGGAUGGGGAUGCGUCUGAUUAGCUUGUUGGCGGGGUAACGGCCCACCAAGGCUACGAUCAGUAGGGGUUAUGAGAGGAAGGUCCCCCACAAUGGAACUGAGACACGGUCCAAACUCCUACGGGAGGCAGCAGUGAGGAAUAUUGGUCAAUGGACGAGAGUCUGAACCAGCCAAGUAGCGUGCAGGAUGACGGCCCUAUGGGUUGUAAACUGCUUUUAUAAGGGAAUAAAGUGAGUCUCGUGAGACUUUUUGCAUGUACCUUAUGAAUAAGGACCGGCUAAUUCCGUGCCAGCAGCCGCCGUAA
rnacentral:rRNA from 1 species